UAUAUCAAAUUCGACAACAUGGCGUAAUUUGACAACGUCCAGGGUUGUUGUUCUUUACAUUGUCAAAUUUGGUAAUGGCGACAUUUUGAGCCAAUCAGAGGCCAUAGCAGCCUGCUGGGUCUUUCCGAUUGGCUCAAGAUGCCACCAUUACCAAAUCUGACAGUAUGGCAGAAUUUGAUAGCGUCCAGAAUAACACCUAUAUAUGCAGGGUUGCUAAAUAAGACGGGCAACUUUAGCCUGGCUUUUUCAAGAAAAUAUGGAGUUAUUAGUACUACUUACAUUCCGGUUUAUAUGGUACUUAUUUUGUCACUGCUUUUUUUAGUGUAUGUUUCUGUUAGUAGAAUAAGGAUGUAGAACGUUGCCUUUUUAUGUCAGUUGGAAGUUUAUUUCCGUAUGUGGUCCUACUAUUCUUACAUUAAGAUGUUUGAAUUUUUUUCUUUUUCUUUUCUUUAAUUUCAUUCUAGUUUCCUUAUACAAGAAACCAAAGGGUCCCGGACAAAGGUGCUUCCUUGCAAAUGACUGGGUCCGGGGCCCUAUACAAACUGUACACGGAGGAAACAGCGUUACACAAAUCAAGAACAUAUUUCAAUAUCUACUCACAUAGAAAAAAAAAAUGUGCAUAGAAAUAUACAAAUCAAGAACAUAUUUCAAUAUCUACUCGCAUAGAAAAAGAAAAAGUGUGCAUAGAAAUAUACAAAUCAAGAACAUGUUUCAAUAUCUACUCACAUAUAAAAAGAAAAAAAAUGUGCAUAGAAAUAUACAAAUCAAGAACAUAUUUCAAUAUCUACUCACAUAGAAAAAGAAAAAAAAUGUGCAUAGAAAUAUACAAAUCAAGAACAUAUUUCAAUAUCUACUCGCAUAGAAAAAGAAAAAGUGUGCAUAGAAAUAUACAAAUCAGGAACAUAUUUAAUAUCUACUCACAUAGAAAAAAAAUGUGCAUAGAAAGCAGCAAACAAACAGUAAACAGAACACUGACAGUAUCCACGUCUUAUCUUGCGACACACAGGCACAAUUGCACACGAGGAACAAAUAAUAUGACCCCAAAAAAUAGAUCUGUUGCAAAAAAAGAAAAAAAAGGAAAGGGUAUGUUUAAAACAACAAUGAAUAACUUUACAGAAGAAUUGCUUCGGUUAAAGCACCCUUAAAAGCAGCUACUGACGAGUGCCGUUCAAUUAUUGUGAUAAGAUCCUUAUUCUCGUUCAAAAGUUUAGGUAUUUGAUAUUUUAGACUUUGUUCACCGUAGUUUGUUAACAGUUUUGGUACUCUGUAUUUUAUAGUUCCAAGAUCAAAAUUCCGAUUCAUUGCCAUGAACGAUAGUUCAAAACUUUGACGGUCUUUUUUUAUUUAUGUAUGCAUGUAGGUCGCAAGCUUGCGUUUGUAAAGCUGGUCUACCCUCGAUAUUCCUUGGCAGUCUUGGAAAGACUGCGUGCUUUCGCUAUGUUUUAAACAUUCUAAAGCUCUAAUUCACUUUUUUUGUGCAAUAAAAUGCCAUAUUUGAAGCAGUACCGGUACCCCAUAUCAGGAGACAAUAAUAAAUGAGAAUUGAUCAUUGAAAAGUAAAAAAUUGCUCUGAAUUUCCUGGCAAUUAGAUUUCUUAUUUUCUAUAAUGCUCCCAUUACUCUGGAUAGUUUUAAUUUCAGGUGAGUAAUAUGAGUAUUCCUUGACAGGUUCUUAUGAAAAAAAAAACGCCUAAGAAUUUAUAGAAUCCACACACUCUAUCGAGUUGAUUCACCUUGCAUAUUAUGCUCACCUGCAUUGGUCUCAACAAGACUAGUAGUAAUGAAAAUCAAUAACUGCACACUGUCCAUUCCUUCCCAUGAAUAAACACAAAGAUGUGAAGUAAGCAGAUUAAAUGAGUGCAUAUGUUACGAUUUGCAAAGAAAAUGCAAUAUAGAUACGUCAUUCUUUCAUCCGCGAAAGCAAUGACUUGACCCUUGCACAUCCCACUGAGCUUAGCACAUCAAUACACAGUGCCACUAAUCCUCCAUGGCUCAGACAUACUCCACAGCAACAGCACAUCAAAUGAUACUGCAUUUCUGGCUUUGGCACUAUGAAUACUGAAUG
rnacentral:lncRNA from 1 species